rnacentral:rRNA from 1 species
CCUACGGGUGGCAGCAGCCGAGAAUCUUCCGCAAUGGGCGAAAGCCUGACGGAGCGACGUCGCGUGAUGGAUGAAGUUCUUCGGAACGUAAACAUCUUUUAUUGGGGACGAACCCCGCCUUUGGCGGGACUGACGGUACCCGAUGAAUAAGGGGUUGCUAAACUCGUGCCAGCAGCAGCGGUAAGACGAGUGCCCCAAGCGUUAUCCGGAAUUACUGGGCGUAAAGUGUGUUUCGGCGGUCCGCCGCAUCUUUAGUUAAAGCCCAAGGCUUAACCUUGGAAUUGCUAAAGAGAUGGGCGGGCUGGAGGCAGCGAGAGGUCUACGGAACUCAUGGUGUAGGGGUGAAAUCCGUUGAUAUCAUGGGGAACACCGAAGGCGAAAGCAGUAGACUAGCGCUUGCCUGACGCUUAUACACGAAAGCGUGGGGAUCAAACGGGAUUAGAUACCCCAGUAGUCC